rnacentral:misc_RNA from 1 species
CGCACAUUGCGCCCGCCAGCAUUCUGGCGGGCAUGCCUGUUCGAGCGUCAUUUCAACCCUCGAGCUCCCUUCGGGGAGCCCGGCUGUUGGGGAUCGGCUGUACCGCCGGCCCCGAAAUGGAGUGGCGGCCCGUCCGCGGCGACCUCUGCGUAGUAGCAACACCUCGCACCGGAACCCCGACGUGGCCACGCCGUAAAACACCCAACUUUCUGAACGUUGACCUCGGAUCAGGUAGGAAUACCCGCUGAACUUAA